GAAUAAACCUGGCGUGAUUGUUGCUGGUCCUCUCGGGGGCAUGUGCACAUCCGUCAUCUUUAUCUUUCCACCUGUGCACAUUUUGUAGAUCUGAAAUAUUUUUUCCGAGGCAACUCGUUUUGAGGGAUUGCUGUGCAUAUCAGUGUCGGCUUCUCUUGGAAUUUCAGGUCUAUGUUUUCACAUACACCAUAAAAAUGUAAUAGAAUGUUAUUCUUGGGCCUUGUUGCCUAUAAACUAUAUACAACUUUCAGCAACGGAUCUCUUGGCUCU
rnacentral:misc_RNA from 1 species